UUUGUAUACAGUGACUGUGAUACAGUUGUAUAUAGUUUAUUGUUAUGGCACUUCAUUUGUUCACGCUCUUCUAUAUUGCUGUGUCAAUCUGUUUUAUUUAUCCAACGAGUGCGUUCGUUUAUGCAGGACUAACUGUCGAAGAGCUUUUCAGUUGCUGGCUCGGUAGCGAGUUUGAAAAUUUUGUUUUGUACCAUAUUCGACGUUCAUCUAUAACUAUACUCUCCCACUCACUUUUACCGUUAGGUUAUCUGGUGGGUUUAUGUCUGUUUAUCACUGAAGACCUGCAUAUGUUGUUCUUUGAAGGAGGAUACUUGUGGAACAUUUUUGUAAUUGCUUCAGUACUGCUACCUAUAGCAACAGCAUGUGUUAUAUGGACGUGGUGGAAAGACAACUGGAAACGUCAUCCAAUUUGCCAGACGUUGAGGUUAUUUGCUACCGAAAAUACAGCCUGGGAAUCUGUAGCAUCAGAUAUAAACUUGGAAUUUAGAAGGUUAGAUAAAUUCUGUGUGCAAACAAGUCCCGUGACCAAGGUAGUGGCAACAGACAACUGGGUUUUUUGGGUGCGACCAUAUGGUAUGGACUGUGCCCACCAGAGUGACACAGCCUUGAUUGUGUGUAGGAGUGACACUCAUCACAUUGCUCCUGAAAGUCCUAUUGGGACACAAUUCUUAAACAUUGAAGUUCGUCCUACAAGACAGUUUGUGCCAUCAUUCACAAUAAGGUUGGAAUCAACAGACUUCCGUGAUUUGCAAGACAAGAUUAGUCGUCCAAUAACAGUUCUGCAAAAUGUUACCUUGUUCCGCUCCCUGAGUGAUCAGUUCUUAGAAACUUUCCGUGAACUUGUUGCACAGAAUCCCCAUUAUAGGAUUGAUGAGCAACAGGAACUGGAACCUUGUGCUGGCUGUAUGCAGAUACCAUCAAAUGUAAAACUUGAAAGACAUUGUGAAAAUACAUCAGCUCCUGAUGCAUGUUCAGUAUGUUACUGCCGACCUAUGUGGUGUGUGGAUUGUAUGGGCCGAUGAAAGGUCUCAUGUUUCCACCUAUCAUUGAGCGUGUGUAAUGCACUGAGGUGUUGAAUGAGUAAAGAUAUAAUUUACUUGGAAGAUGUGACAAAGGUUCAAUCAUUUCAAGGACUGCUUAGAAGAGGGCAAGUAAAUGAGCAUUAACUCUUGAACAGAGCAGUAGACGCAUUUGAUGAGGAUGAAAUGCUAAAAGCAAAAAAUCAACAAUGUUUACAAGAAGACCAAUUUGGAUUUAGGAAAGGAAAAGGAACCAGCAAAGCUAUAAUAGUGCCAUGAAUGAUCUUAGGAAGAAGAAUUGAUGUGAACAUUGACCUAGAGAAGGCAUGGUUUGCUUCAAGACAGGAUCAGCAGCAUCCAGAAACAUGGCUGAGUUCAAAGUGCACUUGCCCUCUGUGUCGCAGUACAUUUUGUAUCCUUGAUGUGUGCAUGAUACAAAAGUGACAAUAAAAGUAUUUUUGUAUGUUUAAGAUAAACCAGAUUUUUUUAUAUUUGUAAUUGUGUAUCUUCAUAAUAAAGAAUUUUCGUUCCA